UACGGAGGGGGCUAGCGUUGUUCGGAAUUACUGGGCGUAAAGCGCACGUAGGCGGCUUUGUAAGUUAGAGGUGAAAGCCCGGGGCUCAACUCCGGAAUUGCCUUUAAGACUGCAUCGCUAGAAUUGUGGAGAGGUAAGUGGAAUUCCGAGUGUAGAGGUGAAAUGCGCAGAUAUCAGGAGGAACACCGGUGGCGAAGGCGGUUCUCUGGGCAUGUCCUGACGCUGAGGAGCGAAAGCGUGGGGAGCAAACAGG
rnacentral:rRNA from 1 species